ensembl:lncRNA
CCACUCAGGUGUGUUCAGACACUUGUAAUGUAUAAUCUGGUGCAUGUAAUGUGUCGCGCGCUCGCGGAAGCUUUGCGCACGCGCUGCUUUGCUGCAUACCUGACAGCUGUCAAAGAAGGCAAGAAAACAUAGAUUGAUUAUGUAGUAAGUUAUUUAAACAGAUAUUUUAAUCAGAUAUGGGCUUGUGUGUGAGGGAGCGCGAGAAAGAGCAGCUAGCGCGUGCCCCUGUUGCUUUGCGCGGUGUUUAACUACUACAGCAGGUCACUUGAAACACAAAAACAAACCAACGAGAGACAAGUGUUUAUUUGAUGAGGGUCGCCGGCCUUUGUCAUGUAUAUUUUGUCACGAAUAGACCAUCUGGAAUACCAGUUAUCUUACAGAGGAACCGGCUUAAUUGCCGUUAAUUUAAUGAAGACUUUAUUUUCGCCGGACAGAUGCAUUGGACGCGAAAAAUUACGCACUAGAAGUCGCGCUCUGUGUAAAUAAGUGUUUAUGAUAUGAACUGAAAAAGAAGGAUAAACAGUAACGUGGGAAAGGGAUAAUUUUAAUAAAAGAAAUGGACAUGUGAUUCAGGAAUGGCCGGAUGAAUGUAAAUGUGAGGGGGAUUUCCAAAUGGAGAGGUUAAUAGUCAUGAUGAUGUCAUCCACAUGCUGGUGGUACAGCGGGGCCGAUGUUAAUACGUUAAGUGAUGAAGGCAUGUCUGCUCUGGCUGUCUGUCAUGUCCUCUACUACCCACUUCAGUCUUUACAUGAGACGCUGGCUGAGCGAGUGACACAGAAUAUCAGCCCAGAGCCACAGCCUUUGGAAGCCAUCUCCCAUGAAUCCUCUCCAGAUCCAAUGACAGGAACACCCAAAGAUGAAAGUGGCCAAGAGACAUUUGAGACACCAAGAGAAAUCAACCGAAUUGACCAAAGUCUUGAACCAGAGAACCUCAAUAACUUGGAGAAACUUGAAGCUCAAGAGCAAAUAAAUGAGGACAUAAAUGAAGAUGAGAUACUGUACUUCUUCAGCCUCGGAGGAACCUCAACUUCAUCAAAUCAAUCAAAAUACAGACCCAAACAAGGAAGUAGUUGUUCAACUUGAACAUGAAGAAGACAAACCAGCAGAAGAACCAUAUGUUAUAAUGUCAAGAUCUAUUCAAGUUUUUGAUGAUAAAAUUCCAGUGGGUUCUGUAUCGUGCCAAGAGAAGGAAGCAAAGACAGUCGUUAACUCUGAGGAAGAGUUGACAAAUCUGGAGAUCGAUGAAAACCUGGAAAGGAACAUUAGAUCAGCUGUACCUACUUUUGAUUCUGUAUGUUCUAUGGCUAGUUUUCAUAUUCACGUCACAGAGGAGAUCCUGCAGAAGAGUGCUGAUAUUCUGUGCCAGACAGGAACAGUGACUUCGACAGACACCCAGGAGACAGUCCGGAUAAUUGCACUUCUUAAGACAGCACAUCACAGCUGCUGGGUUACAAGUUAUUUGGCUG